rnacentral:tRNA from 1 species
GCCCGUGUGGCUCAGUGGUUGAGCAUAGACCUAUGAACCAGGUUCGAUUCCUGGUCAGGGCA